rnacentral:rRNA from 1 species
CUACGGGAGGCUGCAGUGGGGAAUAUUGCACAAUGGAGGAAACUCUGAUGCAGCAACGCCGCGUGGAGGAUGACACUUUUCGGAGCGUAAACUCCUUUUAUAUAGGAAGAAGAUGACGGUACUAUAUGAAUAAGCGCCGGCUAACUCCGUGCCAGCAGCCGCGGUAAUACGGAGGGCGCAAGCGUUACUCGUAAUCACUGGGCGUAAAGAGCGUGUAGGCGGAUUAAAAAGUCAGAAGUGAAAUCCUAUAGCUUAACUAUAGAACUGCUUCUGAAACUCUUAAUCUAGAAUAUGGGAGAGGUAGAUGGAAUUUCUGGUGUAGGGGUAAUAUCCGUAGAGAUCAGAAGGAAUACCGAUUGCGAAGGCGAUCUACUAGAACAUUAUUGACGCUGAGACGCGAAAGCGUGGGGAGCAAACAGGAUUAGAUACCCCUGUAGUC